rnacentral:rRNA from 1 species
GACGAACGCUGGCGGCGUGCUUAACACAUGCAAGUCGAGCGAGAGAAGUUCCUUCGGGAAGGACUCUAGCGGCGGACGGGUGAGUAACACGUGGGUAACCUGCCUCAUAGAGGGGAAUAGCCUUCCGAAAGGAAGAUUAAUACCGCAUAAGAUUGUAGCUUCGCAUGAAGCAGCAAUUAAAGGAGUAAUCCGCUAUGAGAUGGACCAGCGUCGCAUUAGCUAGUUGGUGAGGUAACGGCUCACCAAGGCGACGAUGCGUAGCCGACCUGAGAGGGUGAUCGGCCACAUUGGAACUGAGACACGGCCCAGACGCCUGCGGGAGUCAGCAGUGGGGAAUAUUGCACAAUGGGGGAAACCCUUAUGCAGCAACGCCGCGUGAGUGUUGAAGGUCUUCGGAUUGUAAAACUCUGUCUUCAGGGACGAUAAUGACGGUACCUGAGGAGGAAGCCACGGCUAACUACGUGCCAGCAGCCGCCGUAAGAC